ACGACGAGUACGUGUCCUACCUCAUCGAGCGCCGCGUGGCGCUGCACACGCGCCAGCCGCAGAUCGCCGUCAUGCAGCGCGCCCUGGAUGAGGAAGAUGAUCUAUUGAUGGAGGCGCGCGAAGGCGACGAUGAAGGCGACAUCGACGAGGAGGAGCCGGAACCGGAACCGGAGCCGGAGCUGGAGCCGGAGUUGGAGCUGGAGCAGGAUCAGGAGUGGGAGUGGGCGGAUGAUGAUGAUGAUGAGGAUGACGCCGGCCCCGAGAUUAAAAAAGCCAAGGUCAACUAGGCGGUAAACGAUGCGGUCUUGUAAAAUAAAUCUAAAAUACUGGAUUCUGACAAAGAAGUUAUAACAUAGAAUAGUAUUGCUGCGUGUUGUGAUUAAAUAUCGAUGUGUGUUAAAUGUUUACAAUUAUAAGAUAUUUGUCUGUGGACAUAACACAUUUGUCUAUGAUUAAAAGAUGUGAAGUGUAUGCUUGUCAUAAACAUUUUUGGUUGAAAUACUCGAAGUCAUGGUUUUUUUUUUGAAAACAUUUGAUUUGAUAUCCUCCAAAACAUUUGUCUAGUCACAGCGACUUUUAAUAUGAGUCUGGCCAAAUAUAUGUUCACAUAAAGGGUAUUUAUUAUAUAAUAAUGUUCUAUGAAUGUUGCCAUGUAGAGCGUAAGGAAUUUUUAGUUUAAAAUCAUUGACAAAUUAACUACAAAUUGUAGAGUAAAAAUAUUAUUGAACU